rnacentral:rRNA from 1 species
AACCUUACCUACCCUUGACAUGUCCGGAACUGCCAGAGAUGGCUUGGUGCCCGAAAGGGGAAUCGGAACACAGGUGCUGCAUGGCUGUCGUCAGCUCAUGUCGUGAGAUGUUGGGUUAAGUCCCGCAGCGAGCGCAACCCUUAUCAUUAGUUGCUACGCAAGGGCACUCUAAUGAGACUGCCGGUGACAAACCGGAGGAAGUGGGGAUGACGUCAAGUCCUCAUGGCCCUUAUGGGUAGGGCUUCACACGUCAUACAAUGGUCGGUACAGAGGGUUGCCAAGCCGCGAGGCGGAGCCAAUCCCACAAAGCCGAUCGUAGUCCGGAUUGUUCUCUGCAACUCGAGAGCAUGAAGUCGGAAUCGCUAGUAAUCGCAGGUCAGCAUACUGCGGUGAAUACGUUCCCGGGUCUU